GUGUUUCCAUGGGGGGCUGCCAUUAGACUAUUGGGAAAUUUGAAGUAGAGUUUUGGGAUUGUUCGGGAAAAAGUCUGUUGGAUUAGGGGGUUUGUGUGGUCGAGGAUUUUGGUUUUGAACUUUUUGUGUAGUUUUUGUGGAUUAGGAUGUUUCGAAUGUACCAGGGAGCGCGUGAAAUUCGACGUAGGAGUUUGUUUUGGAAUGUUUGGAGCUUCUCGAUGUUUGCUUUGCAUGUUUGGCUGAUGACAGGUGCCCCGUAACAAACUUGUGCUCUGAUCACUUGUUUGUAAAUUAGAGUUUUGUUUUGUAGUGAGAGUGUGCUUUUGCGAU
rnacentral:lncRNA from 1 species